UUGGCAUUAUGAUGAUGUUUAUUGUCAUCUGAUUAUCAUGUGUUGAUAACAAUCCUCCUACUCAUUCUGA